rnacentral:rRNA from 1 species
ACGUGAUCUGAGUUCAGACCGGAGUAAUCCAGGUCAGUUUCUAUCUAUAAGAGGAAUUUUGUAGUACGAAAGGACCCAAAAAACAUGGCCAAUACUUAAGCAAGCCAUCCCAAUAAUUUAUGAUUUCGACUUAAUAAUCAACUAACUCCCCACUUGUAUCUCUAUAAAAGAGAA